CCGUGCUGGAUGGGGAGUUGGCGGUGCCCUGUACCUGCAACCCGCCAUAGCAGGGUCGAUCCCCGGUCCGAGGCGUUCGCCUGUCGGGUCUGGUUCGGAUAAGGGACGUUGAAGGUUGGGUCCCGUGCAACAGGCCGCUGUGAACCAUGUCAGAUCCGGAAGGAAGCAGCAUUAAGCGGAAUGGCCUGUGUGCCGCGGGUUCGCCUGACCGGAGUUACCUGUCCGGAGACCGCCGGGAGGCGCGCGUCGAAGUCCGGGCGCACGG
rnacentral:SRP_RNA from 1 species